GACGUAGGAUGCGAGCGUUGUUCGGAUUUAUUGGGCGUAAAGCGUGCGUAGGCGGUUUCAUAAGUCUGGUGUUAAAGCUAGGGGCUCAACCCCUGUGAUGCCCUGGAAACUGUGAGACUGGAGUACGGUAGGGGAAGGUGGAAUUCCCAGUGUAGCGGUGAAAUGCGUAGAUAUUGGGAAGAACACCGGUGGCGAAGGCGACCUUCUGGGCCGUCACUGACGCUGAGGCACGAAAGCUUGGGGAGCAAACGGG
rnacentral:rRNA from 1 species